AAAAUUUUUGUAUUAAUAAAAAAAAUACAAAUCUGUUCUUAUCAGUUUAAUAUCUGAUACGUCCCCCAUCGGGGGACUACAUAUUAAAUAGAUUUUUCGAACAGGGAGUCGGAAAUGGGGCUUGCUCCGUCCGCUCUACGCAUCGACCCGGUAAUGCAGUACCUCCGGGAACGGUGCAACACUU
ensembl:snRNA U2 U2 spliceosomal RNA